UACGGAGGGAGCUAGCGUUGUUCGGAAUUAUUGGGCGUAAAGAGCUCGUAGGCGGCUUGUCGCGUCGACUGUGAAAUCCCGCGGCUCAACUGCGGGUCUGCAGUCGAUACGGGCAGGCUAGAGUUCGGUAGGGGAGACUGGAAUUCCUGGUGUAGCGGUGAAAUGCGCAGAUAUCAGGAGGAACACCGAUGGCGAAGGCAGGUCUCUGGGCCGAUACUGACGCUGAGGAGCGAAAGCGUGGGAGCGAACAGG
rnacentral:rRNA from 1 species